ensembl:lncRNA
GGAGGUAGAGUCGUGUUAGGAGCGUGAGUCUGGAGGUAGAGUCGUGUUAGGAGCGUGAGUCUGGAGGUAGAGUCGUGUUAGGAGCGUGAGUGAGGAGGUAGAGUCGUGUUAGGAGCGUGAGUGAGGAGGUAGAGUCGUGUUAGGAGCGUGAGUGAGGAGGUAGAGCUGUGUUAGGAGCCAUGUUCGGAGCGUGAGGAGGUAGAGUCGUGUUAGGAGCGUGAGUGAGGAGGUAGAGUCGUGUUAGGAGCGUGAGUGAGGAGGUAGAGUCGUGUUAGGAGCGUGAGUCUGGAGGUAGAGUCGUGUUAGGAGCG